GGCACUGUGAUGGAGUUGGUUACCAUAUCUGUCUAACAGCCCAUUUGGGGUAGGUUCACAGAAGGUCGCCAGUUCGAGCCUGGCCGGAGUCA
rnacentral:tRNA from 1 species